UGUUAAGGUACUCCAUUAAUUGUACUUGAUAC
rnacentral:piRNA from 1 species